AUUGAACGCUGGCGGCAGGCCUAACACAUGCAAGUCGAGCGGACGAAGGGAGCUUGCUCCUGGAUUCAGCGGCGGACGGGUGAGUAAUGCCUAGGAAUCUGCCUGGUAGUGGGGGAUAACGUCCGGAAACGGGCGCUAAUACCGCAUACGUCCUGAGGGAGAAAGGGGGGGAUCUUCGGACCUCACGCUAUCAGAUGAGCCUAGGUCGGAUUAGCUAGUUGGUGGGGUAAAGGCCUACCAAGGCGACGAUCCGUAACUGGUCUGAGAGGAUGAUCAGUCACACUGGAACUGAGACACGGUCCAGACUCCUACGGGAGGCAGCAGUGGGGAAUAUUGGACAAUGGGCGAAAGCCUGAUCCAGCCAUGCCGCGUGUGUGAAGAAGGUCUUCGGAUCGUAAAGCACUUUAAGUUGGGAGGAAGGGCAGUAAGUUAAUACCUUGCUGUCUUGACGUUACCAACAGAAUAAGCACCGGCUAACUUCGUG
rnacentral:rRNA from 1 species